rnacentral:misc_RNA from 1 species
AAAGACUAUUACUUGGUGUGCUUCACCCUUCAUCCCCUCAUUCAGUGCCCUGUGUGCCAUGCCAGUAUUUUUAUUGCUCAAAAUGCAAAAUGCAUUGGGUGCAGGGUCAUUUAGAAUCUCAUGUUGAGGAGUGAUAUUAGAAACCUGUUCUUAUAAUUAUAAACAAAACAAUAUUCUUUUCUAACUUGAAUGAUUUUUCUUUGACCCAAAUUUGCGAGAGAUUUUCACAUUAAAUCAAUUAUUU